UGCCAACCCAAAUCAUUGCAUGAUUCUGUGAGUGUCCCAAUAUCUGACUCAAUCACCCCAGUGAGCAGGCUUGGCAUGCACAGGCGUCUGGGAAGGGACCUGACCCACACAGCUGAUAUGAGAUGACCAAUGGGAUAUGCCUUUCUCUACAAUGUGCCCAGCAGUAAAAGCUGCAGGAAAUGGAGGAGAAAGAAGGAAUGUCUAUGGCUGUGGUGUUUGUCUUCUCGAGUAAUCAUUAAGCAUGAUGCAGCCAUGCUUUCCUGGAAGUGCUGAUAUCUGCCUGCCAGUAACAAGUAAUGAUUAAUUCCUUGCUUCACUUUUCUUGUGUGUCAAGUAUUUGUUUUACCUAUUUAAAUGCCUUUCUAUUAACCACGAAUUUUCAGUUUUUCUCUUUUGAUUCUCUCACACUGAAGAGGAAAUAACCCAGCAGCUGGGUAGGCUUAGUUGCUGGUUGCAAUCAGUUCACAUGUGAGGCACUUGCUUUUUUUGAAAAUUAAUUUGCAGAAAAUACUCAGUACAAUUUUAAUUAAUUAGUUGUUUUUUUGUUUUUUCUUUCCAACUUCAGGUAAUGAAAAUGCCUUCUAAUCCUGCACCACUACAAACUUGUGCUGUAAGCAUUCAGACAGCUGCUACAUUGAACAUACUGAGAAGUUCAGCCAUUUUCAGGUAUUGAUUCACACUAUAGUAGACAUCGUACACUACAGAAACAACAGAACAAACAUUGUCAGCAGAUCAGCUGAAGCUUGUCAUGGUUCCUGUUGCUUCUUAUAAUGCUGUUUCAUACAACAAGGCUUUAUGAGAAAUCUGCAGGUCCUGAGUGUGUCCUGUGGUACUGUGUACCUUUGCUACUCUGAGCAGUUCUGGCUGAGAAUUUCUGGAUGUAUCAUGAUGGAAUGCAAGCUGUGGAAGAAGGACGUCACCAGAAGAAAGAGUCAUGUCUGUACCUCCAGGGAUGAUUGCAGAAUCAUCUCUACAAGAGAGUUGUGGGCUCAGACUAGAUCACAGCUAAGUGGUCAGUGAAGAGACUGAAAAACUGUUCCCAAGGAAAUCCACUCUGCUCAGACACCAGAUGCAAACAAUAUGGACUAACCAGUUUAUUAUCUCUGCCACAGUGCCUGCAAAACACUGAUGUCUUGCUGAGGCAGGAAGGUGGCUGAAUGAAUCUGUUAAGCAAGUUGUAUUUAAUCAUGCUUCACCUUUCUUUUGCCACUUAGAGAUGAGCACUGCCAUGCUGUUCUGCCAUUCAGCUUCCCUUCAACUUUCAUGGAAGAUGGAGCAGUCUUAGAGGGUUUGUUUAUGCAGCUUCUAGCAGCACAGCUGUUCUUGCUUCAGGGGAUUUCACAGUGCUACUGCUAUGGAAACUGGAGAAGAUUGGGAGUCUGCAACAUCUUCUUCAUCCUUAGAAUGACAGCUUAAACAAAAGUGUUGCUUCUGUAAGCAGGCAGAGUCAGAGAAAGGCCAACACAUCCCAAUUUCAACACCAGCCCACAUGCUGCUCAAUCAAACACAUCUGCAUCAUUUAGGCUUUAAAAAAGUGAAAAACAGUGCCUUCCACCUACAGUUUUCUAGUGUUAACAAGUAGGUAUAUUUUGGGGACAUACAUCAACAACAUGCAAAUUGUGAUCAGGCAAAUAUAUUCAGUCCCUUUGGCUUCAUAAAUUUUACCUCAAUUUUGUUUAUCCUAUAAUUUUUAGGAAAAAAAUGCAUGCAGAUUGAAAAAAUUAAACAGACUUUAUUUGAAGCAUAAUAUGAUCCAAAUAUGACAUUAUACAGACCAGAAGGUAUGACUUCAGGCCAGAUUUUAAGCUGGUAGAAAUUGGCAGAAAUCCUGAACUUCACUAUUCAUUGAUUCUUAGACAGUUUUACACCCCAGGACUUUGUUUCAGCAUACAGAAAAACAAUAGAAUAAAAUUUGCUUAUCUGAGCUGUUGCUUCA
rnacentral:lncRNA from 1 species